AUAGCGUAUAUUAUGUUGCUGCAGUUAAAAAGCUCGUAGUUGGAUUUCUGACUUGGCGCACCUGGCCCGCCACGGUUACGUGUGUGAGUGCCGGGAUGCGCCUGUCACUUUUCUAGUAAACUAUUGUGCUCUUCAUUGAGUGUGAUAGGUAGCUAGAUAUUUUACUUUGAAAAAAUUAGAGUGUUUAAAGCAGGCGUUUGCUAUGAAUACAUUAGCAUGGAAUAAUAAGUUAGGACUUCGGUUCUAUUUUGUUGGUUUCUAGGACUGAAGUAAUGAUUGAUAGGGAUAGUUGGGGGUGCUAGUAUUCAGCGGCCAGAGGUGAAAUUCUCGGAUUCGCUGAAGACUAACUUAUGCGAAAGCAUUCACCAAGGAUGUCUUCUUUAAUCAAGAACGAAAGUUGGGGGAUCGAAGACGAUCAGAUACCGUCGUAGUCUCAACCAUAAACUAUGCCGACUAGGGAUGAGUGAACGUUGCAUAAUCGACUUCAUUCGCACCUUAUGAGAAAUCAAAGUCCUUGGGUUCCGGGGGGAGUAUGGUCGCAAGGCUGAAACUUAAAGGAAUUGACGGAAGGGCACCACCAGGAGUGGAGCCUGCGGCUUAAUUUGACUCAACACGGGGAAACUUACCAGGUCCAGACUCAGUGAGGAUUGACAGAUUGAAGUUCUUUCUUGAUUCUA
rnacentral:precursor_RNA from 1 species